rnacentral:lncRNA from 1 species
UUUGCUAGAAUACUAUCGGUAGUAAACGGCUCGGUUUACUAUCGAUUUAUUUUCGAUGAUAGAGCUUCCAAAUUGAUGAUCGGCACCGUUAAAUAUGAUCUAAACUAUUUAAACUAUCGGGAAAUCAAAUUUCACAUAUUUUCGAUAUUGUUCUCUUGUCCAUCAAGUGAACAGAAAAAUGAAUAGCCGAAAAUGAAAAUUCUUCAAAAAGUGAUGAUACAA